UACAGAGGUGGCAAGCGUUGUUCGGAAUUACUGGGCGUAAAGGGCGCGUAGGCGGUCUUGUCAGUCCCUUGUGAAAUCCCCCGGCUCAACUGGGGAACUGCACGGGAAACAGCAGGGCUUGAGUUCGGGAGAGGGAAGCGGAAUUCCGGGUGUGGCGGUGAAAUGCGUAGAUAUCCGGAGGAACACCGGUGGCGAAGGCGGCAUCCUGGACCAACACUGACGCUGAGGAGCGAAAGCCAGGGGAGCAAACGGG
rnacentral:rRNA from 1 species